CCGUGGACGUAGAUUUACUUCAGUAAAUCGAACCACGUAAAUUCUGUGUGUUGUAGUUUUCAUUCUCUACCAGCUUUUACUAACAUCAGAAAUUCGCGGAUCCAUCAAAUACCUCGCUGCGGAGGUUUUGGAGCUUGCUGGAAAUGCGGCGAGGGACAACAAGAAGACUAGGAUCGUUCCAAGGCAUAUUCAGUUGGCUGUACGGAACGACGAGGAGCUGGGGAAGCUUCUGGGAUCUGUGACGAUUGCUAAUGGCGGCGUUUUACCCAACAUUCACCGCACUCUGCUGCCGAAGAAGGCUGGUGAAGGCAAAGGAAAGGGGGAAAUUGGGUCCGCAUCUCAGGAAUUCUAGGAUAAGCACGCCGUGUCUCUAUGAUCGUUGUUGUUGUUCAUACCAUUUGUCCAUUUUCUGGAAAAAAAAACCUCUUUUGUUGAUGUAAUUACCAGUUUUAUCUUAGUCUUAUGUAUUCCGAUUCAACUCCUUUUGAUUAUAUGAAAAUUGUAGUUUCAUUCGA